rnacentral:rRNA from 1 species
AUACGGAGGAUCCGAGCGUUAUCCGGAUUUAUUGGGUUUAAAGGGUGCGCAGGCGGCCAUUUAAGUCAGCGGUUAAAUCGUGGGGCUCAACCCCAUUCUGCCGUUGAUACUGGGUGGCUUGAUUGCGGUCGAGGUUGGCGGAAUUCGUUGUGUAGCGGUGAAAUGCAUAGAUAUGACGAAGAACACCGAUUGCGUAGGCAGCUGACCAGACCGCAAAUGACGCUCAUGCACGAAAGUGCGGGGAUCGAACAGGAUUAGACACCCUGGUAGUCCGCACAGUAAACGAUGAAUACUUGUUUUCGGCGAUAUAAUGUCGGAGGCAAAGCGAAAGCGAUAAGUAUUCCACCUGGGGAGUACGCCGGCAACGGUGAAACUCAAAUGAAUUGACGGGG